rnacentral:lncRNA from 1 species
CAGGACUCCAUCCAGCUGCACUAUUGUCUUUGUACCUGCCUCAGGGUCUUUGCACUUGCUGUUCUCUCUGCCAGAAACAGUCUUCCACCAGGCACCUGCAAGGCUUCUUCCUCGAUCUUUCAGAUCUUUAAUCAAAUGCCAGCCUUUCUCUGGCUACACUAAAUUGCAGCAUCUUCAUUACUCUCUGUAUUCUCCGCCUUUGUUUUAUUUUAUACCAUGUGUAUCAUCCUGUCAGCAUCACAGCUCUUCUUAUUUUAUUGCCUGUCUCCGCACCUCACUAGAAUGCUCACUUUCAAAACGGGGAGUCAGCCCAUUUGGUCACUGGAUGAAGCAGGAUGCAGGCUGAAUGGAGAGGUGGUGGAGUUCGCAGUCUGUCCCAGGCACUCCCUCACCCAGCUAUCUGCCAAUACACCACUUUGAUUUAUCUAUUGUAAAGCUUUUUAAAAGUGUCCCUUAAAGUAGCUUAAGGACAAAUGUGAAUAAAACUUCACAGCAAGUGGAGAUGCAGCCUGAAGAGGCACG